UACGUAGGGUGCGAGCGUUAUCCGGAUUCACUGGGCGUAAAGCGCAUGUAGGCGGCUGGGAAAGUCAGCAAUGAAAGCCCCUGGCUCAACUGGGGGAGGCUUGCUGAGACUACUCGGCUGGAGGGCAGCAGAGGAGCGUGGAACUCCCGGUGUAGCGGUGGAAUGCGUAGAGAUCGGGAAGAACACCAGUGGCGAAGGCGGCGCUCUGGGCUGCACCUGACGCUGAGAUGCGAAAGUGUGGGGAGCAAACGGG
rnacentral:rRNA from 1 species